UACGAGGGGUGCAAGCGUUGCUCGGAAUCAUUGGGCGUAAAGGGUAGGUAGGUGGUCUCAUUUGUCUGGGGUGAAAGCCUUGAUCUUAACUCAAGAAGUGCCCCGGAAACGGUGAGACUAGAGUACUGGAGAGGGUCGUGGAAUUCCCGGUGUAGCGGUGAAAUGCGUAGAGAUCGGGAGGAACACCAGAGGCGAAGGCGGCGACCUGGACAGUAACUGACACUCAACUACGAAAGCGUGGGUAGCAAACAGG
rnacentral:rRNA from 1 species